CUCGUAGGCGGUUCGUCGUCGUCCGGUGUGAAAGUCCACUCGCUUAACGGUGGAUCUGCGCCGGGUACGGGCGGGCUGGAGUGCGGUAGGGGAGACGUGGAAUUCCCGGUGUAACGGUGGAGUGUGUAGAUAUCGGGAAGAACACCAAUGGCGAAGGCAGGUCUCUGGGCCCGUUACUGACGCUGAGGAGCGAAAGCGUGGGGAGCGAACA
rnacentral:rRNA from 1 species